UACAACUCUCGGCAACGGAUAUCUCGGCUCUUGCAUCGAUGAAGAACGCAGCGAAAUGCGAUAAGUGGUGUGAAUUGCAGAAUCCCGUGAACCAUCGAGUCUUUUUGAACGCAAGUUUGCGCUCGAGGCCGUCAGGCUAAGGGCACKCCUGCCUGGGCGUUGUGU
rnacentral:rRNA from 1 species